rnacentral:rRNA from 1 species
GUAAGGAAUAUUGGUCAAUGGACGCAAGUCUGAACCAGCCAUGCCGCGUGCAGGAAGACGGCCCUAUGGGUUGUAAACUGCUUUUGUCGGGGAAGAAACCCAUCUACGUGUAGAUGGCUGACGGUACUCGAAGAAUAAGGAUCGGCUAACUCCGUGCCAGCAGCCGCGGUAAUACGGAGGAUCCAAGCGUUAUCCGGAUUUAUUGGGUUUAAAGGGUGCGUAGGCGGCGUUGUAAGUCAGUGGUGAAAGUUUUCAGCUUAACUGGAAAAUUGCCAUUGAUACUGCAGUGCUUGAGUAUAGAUGAGGUGGGCGGAAUGUGUCAUGUAGCGGUGAAAUGCAUAGAUAUGACACAGAACACCGAUUGCGAAGGCAGCUCACUAAACUAUAACUGACGCUGAGGCACGAAAGCGUGGGGAUCAAACAGGAUUA